GAAUAUAUAAGGGCUCGGUUUCGCCCGCCAGAGUCAGUUCGAUUUGAACAGCGAAACAAGCGGUUUCGAAACGAAAAGGAAAGAAGUUAUCUGUGAGCCUUUACUUUGAAGCGAAGAAGCAUAAAGUUGCUGUGAGCCUAUAUUGUGAAAUAUCAAAUACUACAAUGCCUAGACGUAAAAUAGGAGAAGAUCUUGCCAGUUCUGCAGCGAAACGGCGGAAAUAAAAGAAUAUCGAAGAAAUGAAACGGAAGAAGAGCACGAAGCACGUUUACAAAAUCAACGAACCAGAAUGAGCACCCUGAGAAGCAGAAAAAGCGAAGAAAGAAAAUAAAAUAAAAUAAAAGUAUUGAAGAAUCGAGAA